CAGAUAUAUUUUUCAAGGUCUCAGUGGAGAGCUUUGAUUGUUCUAUCUCAGGAAAUGGCAGACAACACAAGCUUACAGAGCUCCGAGCGCUGAACGUGGGAACUUGGACUGCUAUUCUGAGCACAUUUCAGAAAACUCUGUUGCGUCCCAUUACGUGCCUGUCUUUGAUCUCAAAUUGAAAAUCUCGGAGCCUCUUCCUCCAAUCCAAAAGCAAAUAAAUAGUGAAGGAAAGAAACCUCUCUCCUCUCAGCACGUAGGGCCUCCACGACUGAAAAAUGAAGGUGACAGUAAUAGCUCUGAUGAACCGGCUUGGACAACAGACAGCAACAAAUACCUGUCUCUGUGGAGGAGUUUAAGAGCACUGCAGAGAUUCUCAGACAGUGCAGAGCCUCUUGGCUUACACAGGCCACUGUCUUUCUCUCCAAACAAUACCAGCCAAGCUUCCUCCAUACUUACAACUGAAGAGCUGCGGGAACAGGACAGUAACUAAUACAGCUUUCACAUUUGAAUCUCCCACUCUUAUUAAAAAAUAAGAAAUGAAAGAAAGAAAAAAAGAAAAGAAAAAGACAUGAAUUCUAAGCAAGAUGAGGGAUUUGAUUCUGAGGAAGAAAACUACACGUGGAGGCUUGAAGAUACAAGGGCAGCCCUGACUGUUUUUUUCUCCAACCAGCUACUUUACUCAUGGCCCUUUGAAAGCAGCGAUUCCUGUGAAUCAGCAGUUAAAAUGGUAGGUCCACAUGGGCUUUGAGCUGAUGAGAACAACUGUUAAAUACAAAUUCCUGAUAACAGGUUCAUUGUCAAACUGGAAAAUCUGUAAUGUAGUCUGCCUACUUAAACCAAACUCUAUUCAUUUUCAUCCCAUUUGUAUUGUGUUUUUUUUGUUGUUGUUGUUGUUUUAGGAAAAGUCUUAUUCUAUUUAUUUCUUGUCUUGAUUUGGAACUGGGUACAAAAUUAAUUAUAAGAAUAAACCUCUAAAAAUAGUUUAAUUUACCCUAUAAUACACAAAUAUAGCCUGUGGUUGUAAUUCAUAUAUCAACAGCUAGUAAGUGUUGGGGCUCAGUGUUGAAUUGAGGGAGGUUUUGUGAAGUGUGUGUUUUGGAUUCAGAAUCUGAGGAUUUACAAAUGAAACACCUUAUUUUGAACUGUGAUUCAGUCUGCUGAUGCUAACUCUACAGUAAUCACAUGCUGAGGGGAAGAGUGGGUUCGGAGGUGUGGGGGGAGGACGCUGUCGACUUCUACCUAUUUUUCCGAACAGGUCAUGUAUCAAAAGUGUAAUCUGUAUGAGAAACAUGAACUGGUGAAAUGCAUCUCUGAUGCUAGUUUCCUAUGUUGUUAUGUAGAAUGUUUGUAAUUAUCUUGCUGAGUCCUAAUCCCUGACAUUUGCUAUCACAAAGCAUCUAGUGAAGAAUGCAAUACUCUAAUUAAUGUUUCUGUGGAAGAGUCGGGGGGAAGAAAGGUUGUGCUGUUUUAGCAGAGCAUUUUAAAGAAAAGCUAUUUCGUUAAUGAUAUAGAUGUAAAAUGUUGGGAAGCCUAAGGACACUUUAUUGACUCUAAUACCUUGUUCUUUUCUAUCACAGUGUACAAAUACAGUUAAGCAUCUGUUAAUAUUAUUUUCUAAACCGUGUACUGUACUUCCCUACAUCAGAAGCAAAACAGGCACUUGCUCCCUUUAAAUAUUUAUAUAACUUGAUAUUUCCUACCUU